rnacentral:rRNA from 1 species
GACGAACGCUGGCGGCGUGCUUAACACAUGCAAGUCGAACGAAGUGGCGAACGGGUGAGUAACGCGUCUUCAACCUGCCCUUCAGAGGGGGACAACAGUUGGCAACGACUGCUAAUACCGCAUACUGAAGGUGGGGAUUGCGUCGGAUUAGCUAGUUGGAGGGGUAACGGCCCACCAAGGCGAGGAUCAGUAGCCGGUCUGAGAGGAUGAAGGGCCACAUUGGGACUGAGACACGGCCCAGACUCCUACGGGAGGCAGCAGUGGGGAAUCUUCCGACAUGGACGAAAGUCGUACGGAGCAACGCCGCGUGAGUGAUGACGGCCGUCGGGUUGGAAAGCUCUGUUAAUCGGGACGCGGUACCGGCAUAGAAAGCCACGGCUAACUACGUGCCAGCAGCCGCGGUAAUUC